AUUGAACGCUGGCGGAAUGCUUUACACAUGCAAGUCGAACGGCAGCACGGACUUCGGUCUGGUGGCGAGUGGCGAACGGGUGAGUAAUAUAUCGGAACGUGCCCAGUCGUGGGGGAUAACGUAGUGAAAAUUACGCUAAUACCGCAUACGAUCUAAGGAUGAAAGCGGGGGAUCGCAAGACCUCGCGCGAUUGGAGCGGCCGAUAUCAGAUUAGGUAGUUGGUGAGGUAAAGGCUCACCAAGCCAACGAUCUGUAGCUGGUCUGAGAGGACGACCAGCCACACUGGAACUGAGACACGGUCCAGACUCCUACGGGAGGCAGCAGUGGGGAAUUUUGGACAAUGGACGCAAGUCUGAUCCAGCCAUUCCGCGUGCAGGACGAAGGCCUUCGGGUUGUAAACUGCUUUUGUACAGAACGAAAAGGUCUCUAUUAAUACUAGGGGCUCAUGACGGUACUGUAAGAAUAAGCACCGGCUAACUACGUGCCAG
rnacentral:rRNA from 1 species